AUUUUUAUUAUUUUUAUUCUUUUCUUUGAUUUCUUCCAUUCAAGUUACAUCUUAUGAGUAAGAGUUGACACUAUCACAUUAUAAAGGCAAGACUUACGACUUUCGAACAAUAAGCUACGUUUCAUGGGCAAGAGUUGACACUACUACAUUGUAAAGGCAAGACUUAUGACUUUCAAACAACAAGUUAUGUUUCAUGGGCAAGAGUCGACACUACCACAUUGUAUUUUGAUUUAUGAGAUAUUUUAUAACUCUUACAUUAGAGGAAAGACUUAGCUCAGGGACUUUCAAACAACAAAUUAUACCUCACGGGCAAGAGUUGACUCUACCGCGUUAUAUUUUUAUUUAUGAGAUGUUCUAUAACUAUUGUCUUAGAGGCAAGACUUAGCUCAAGGACUUUCAAACAACAAGUUAUGUUUCAUGGGCA
rnacentral:lncRNA from 1 species